UUUAAGUCCACUUGCAUAAAAGCAAUCGAGUAUUCUCCAAUGUCCAUACUUACGAUUUAUUAUUGAUGAAGAAUCUUUGUGGUUUAGGUAAAAAAACAAUCUAAGCCAGCCCCUCCGAACACAGACACAAAACAUUGCUAGUCCAACACAACCAUGAAAUAUUGGUACUGUACAUCUCUUACAAUGUCAUGAUAGUCUAAAAGGUUAUGUUCAUCUAAACUUUUCUUUGUUAUCUACCUUUUUCAGGUUAGAGGAUUCAGAAAAGGAGUGCAUUGCACGAGCCAGGAGCAACUACAGAUGAAUAAUCUUCAAAUGAACAAAUAUUAUAGAUGAUGUAUAGAUUUUAGCUUCAAAGGAGUACUUAGUUCUACUUUGUAGGGUUUUCGUAAUUAUUUGUAUCUUCCGUAUGAAUAUCUCAUUUGUGAGCUCCACACUUUCAGUAGAGGUAUUUGUUCCUAUUAAUUUAUCCACUUUAUGUUAAUUGUGUGAGAAUGCAAUU
rnacentral:lncRNA from 1 species